rnacentral:lncRNA from 1 species
UCAACUCAAGCCACUAAUUUAAUAAUAAAAAUAAAAAUAGAACACGAAAUAUAAUUAAAUUCCAGAUGAAGAACACUUAUUCCAAUGGUUUGCUUGAAAAACUCACGAAAAAUCGCUCAAAUUCGAAGUUUACAACUCAAGAUAUGAUAAAAAUGGCCAAAACCUCGAUUUUGAAAAAUAUAUUCAACUGCCCAGGUAACAUGUAUCGCGAUCGCGAAGAAGAAAUCAUCAACUGCCCAGAGAAACAUUACGCCAACGUGGAGGCAAAAUUUUCCAAGAUACGUGAUCUCGGGCUCCUAUUCGCGAACGCGGAGAACAAUAUUGCCUGCCUCCAAAUUACACUACGAGAACACGAAGGCAUUGACGCAAACGUGAUGAAGGAAACCAGAUGACAGAAUGAGUAACUCUAAAGCAUUACGAAGUGGCCCGUAGCCCAUCCGAAACAUACCCGAGGCCCUCGGGACCCCAUCAAAACAUGCCAACAAGUUCCAUAAUGUAACGCAUACCUACUCGAGGCCUCAAAUCACAUCAAACAACGUCGGAACUACGAAUCACACCUCGAAUCGAACUUAAGAAAUUCCAAAUCUUCCAACUUCCAAACUCGUGCCGAAACAUACCAAAUCAAGCCUGAAUGAUGUCAAAUUUUGCAUGCAAGUCCCAAAUGAUAUAACGGAGCUAAUCCAACUCUCAGAAUUGCAAUCCGAGCCAAUAUCACCAAAGUCGACCCUCGUUCAAACCUCUCAACCUUCCAAAACUUCAACUUUCCAAUUUUUGCCAAAAUUCUUCAAAUUACCCUACGGACCUCCAAAUCCAAAUACGGACGCACGCCAAAGUCCAAAAUCACAUACAAAGCUAUUGGAAUCAUCAAAACUCCAUUUCAGAGUCGUCUACAGAAAAGUCAAAACUCCAGUCAGCUCUUACCGCUUAAGCUUCUAAAACAAGAAUCCUUCUUCCAAAUUGAUCCCGAAUCAUCCGAAAACUGAACUCGACCAUACAUGCAUGUCAUAACACAUAAUACGAAGCUGCUCGAAACCUUAAGCUGCCGAACGAGACAAAAAUUCUCUAAAUGACCGACCGAAUCGUUACAAAUAUUUAUAGCUUAAAUAUUUCCAAUCAACUAUGAGACAAAUGAGAUUAUUUUAUGAAAUUUAUAUACCAAAUACAAAUCUGUGCUUGUUCCUUAGCCAAAUCUAUUGAAAGGAUUAGAUAAUUUUCAUUAAUAAAUUGCAGUAAGAGCAAUAAAACUUAAGUGAUUCUUACCACAUCUAAUAUGUGUAGACCAGAGUAAAUCACUUUGUAAAGUUGACAGUCAUCUGAACUUAUUUAUAGCUUCAAGAUAAUCAAAUUGUAAGCCAAUAACAUUACUUUGUGAAAUGUAUAUGCUAAAUAUAGAUCUCUCUUUCAUUGCAAUCAGAAGCAGAAAAAGAAAAACUUUUCGAUUAAUCAGUUUUAUGAUACUAACUAUUAAAUCCAACUAUGAAUGUAUAAUUAUCGCUUCAUAUUACAAUUCGUUUCGCUAAUAUGAACUAUUUAUAUAAAGAACCUUAUAAAUAUCAUUAGGUACUUUAUUCAUAAAAUUGCAUCAAACACAGUAACAUAAUAUGCUAGAUCAAUUAGUGGUUAAUAGUUCUUUUUACUAUAAAAAUGUAAAUAAAGAACAUGCAAUGCCUUAUCAGUGACAAUCAACUAAACAUAUUUAUAGCUUAAAAGAUUAUGAACCUCUAAUACUCAAUAUUAUUUUAUGAAACUAUAUACUAAAUACAGAUAUGUGCUCUUUCCUUAAUCAAUUAUAUUAGUAGAAAAGAUUAAUUAGUUUCAAAUUUUUAUGUAAAUACUUGUAAGAGUAGUGAAAUUAAGAGAUUAUUACUGAAUGUGAUAAGUGGAGAGCAGAAGCCAAAUCACUUUGUAAAGUUGAAGAGGGCAAGGGAGUGAGUCGGGAACUAAUUCAAUUUUGGAAUUUGGCAGAUAUAAUCCUAGUGAGGCAAAGCAGCUUCAAUUGACAACUUAACGCAACUACAUUCAUAACUCUUGUAAUUGCCUUUGAUCUAGCCAGCCUAUACCCACUCACCUUAUCAGUCGUUAAUUGAAACAUGGAAAACCUAAGCUAAUUGGUCCCGUUGAGGAACAUACUGUACUUUCGUAAUUUUGGACUAUUUGCUUGAAACAAAUAAGUUUAAUCAAACUUAUCCCUGUAAUAAAUCUUUAUGAAAUCCAACUAAUAAAGCUUCUUGAAUGAGAUUCUAAUGUCUAACCUUGUUGAAACAAGGAUUUUCAUUUUAUUGUUCCAAUGUAAAACUCUAUCUGCUUUCACGAAAUCUUCUUUCCAUAACUUCAUAAACAUGAUUUAUUACAGGGAAAAGGGCCAAAAUUGUCCCUAUACUAUCGAAAAUUAGUUACGUUUAUACCCGUUUUUACUUUCGGUCCAAAUAUAGGCCUGCCGUUAAGAAAGUAGACAAAAUCGUCCCUAACCCUAACGGUUGUCCAUGACUCAGCAACUAAAAUGACACGGUGGACUCCAUGUCACUAUUUAUUUUCCAUCUGUAAUAAUAAAUAACUAAACUCACUAAAAUUAGUCUUCUCCUUCUCUAACAAUAUACCACCAUUGCUGCAAAUUCAAGGUUCUUAUCUUGCUCCACAAAAUUAUUUCAUAAAUUUCCAUCAUUACCAGUCAGUGUUUGAACCACAACUCCAACCGUCUUCCACCAAGAAAAUAUCCCAUCUUCUCUCCACCUAGAAAAUCAUCAGCAAUCACUCAUCGGAAAUACCCACCAAAAGCUUCAACAGAAACCAUCUCUUUAAAUACUACCAGCCACUCAUCAAAAAAUUACCUUUCUUUUCUUCCAUCUCUCGCUCCUCUUUACUGGUCAUAACUGGCUAGUGACACUCCUUUUCUACAAAAAGAAGAAGAGCUAGAUCCAGAAGAAAAAAAUCCUCCAUAAAAACUCAUUUACCGGUGACCUCAUGUUUCUUUUUAAAAUUCCACCCAAAGAAAAAAUCUUUUUUUGCUAAGAAAAUUCUUUACUACUUGAACAUAUCUAAACUAGUAAAAUCUUGAUGGAACAAUCUUUUUCGCAAACAAAGAAGAAUCAACUGGGUGAGAAUCGUUUCGGGAAUUUUUGAUCUGUUUUGGACUGAAUAGACCAAAGAAUCUAACAUUGGAAUGCUAAAACUAUUCAAAGCUGCAACUUGUUAUUUAAAUUAGAAUUAGUUAAAUCUUUGUGCCUUGAAUCUUGAAAGUUAGAGAAGAAGAAGAUUAAUUUUAGUGGGUUUAAUUAUUUAUUAUUACAAAAGAAAAAAUAAAUAGUGACAUGGAGUCCACCGUGUCAUUUUAGUUGCUGAGUCAUGGACAACCGUUAGGAUUAGGGAUGAUUUUAUCUACUUUCUUAACGGUAUGCCUAUAUUUGGACCGAAAGUAAAAACAGGUAUAAACGUGACUAAUUUUCGAUAGUAUAGAGACAAUCUUGGCCUUUUCCCCUUUAUUAUAAGUGGAAAAUUAAAGAAAAUGUAUAUGCAAAGUCCAAUCCGCACUAACGUACUAACCAAUCCUCUCCCAAGAUUAGUAGUGAUAUUAUUUUUGGUCUCUUUUCCAACAGCAAAGUAUCCCAAUACCCCAAAAAAACCAUACAUCAAAAAUAUGAAAGCCAUCGACAAACCCAAUUUUUUUUUUUUUUCAAAUUUGUCCUUAUCUUUCAUCUCUGAUUCCAAAAGGUAAAAUCGUUCCAACACCUUUUAAAGCAUAAAUAGAUACACCAAGACCGCGUUGGAAAAAAAACCUAAACCCACCAAAUACUUCAAAAACAUGUCUCUUUUUAAGAAAGAUUAAAACAUCCUCAACCAUAACUACCACCAUAGUACCUGAAUGAACAUCGGCAAAUAUACUCAAAGAGGUUAAGUGAGUAAUUGUGGGGAUUGAAUUCAACCCAAAUUGAAAUGGGAAACAACUCCAAAUAUGUCAGUUUUUUCUGGACGAAUGACAAAAAAUGAUGGACGAAUAAUCUAAUCAGUUUAAACAAUUUAUAUGCAGCAACUAUUCCGAAAAUCAAGAAAACAAGAAACUAAAACUCACCUUAUAACUGAACAAUCAAGGCGAAUAAACUGUCCAGGAAGAGAGCUGACUAAAAGAGACUAGAGAAUUGGAAGAGGAGGUGAGCAGCGGUGGAAAUUUUGAGGAAGAAACAGAGUGUAGAGACUGUGGAAAUCGGGAGGAAACAAAGUGUAGAUGAUAUUCGUUUGAGCGGUGUAAAGUAACGUGUCAAAACUAAAGUAGGGUUAACACAUGAUUCAUGCCAAAUAUUUGUAAUUUUUUCAAA